ACCGUUUCAGUUCGGCAUUCUCUUCUUCAUGCGUUCCACAGGGAAAACGACACCGUUUCAGUGUUAGGUGUGCCGUUUCCCUCUUCGUUCUAACUUCUUGCCUCAUUUCUUCUUUCUUUCUUUUUGGUUUUUUUCGUUGGGGCAGAGCAUUUUCUCCACGCUUUUGGUUCUUCAAGUGGGUUUGCUUACUUCUUGAUUUGAUGGGUAAUAGUUUAUUUCCUAUUCUUCUUCAUUUUAUUAGGUUUACUAUUUAUUUGUUUUGAUUACCGAUUCUCCCUUGCCUAAUAAUGAAUUCGCUGUUCUUCUUCUACGCAUUGUCUUGGUAAUCAUUUUAUCUUGCACGCUUUUGUACUAUCUUUGUAUGUUUAUAUAAUUGAUUUGUACUAUUUGUUUUGUAUUUCUACAUUUUAUCUCGCUAUUCAAGUGGGUUUAGUUCUUGUUUUUCUUUAGUGUUUUUGUUUUGUGUUCCUGUCUUUGGUUUUUCGCUUUUUUUCUUGAAUUCUCAAUAUGUUUCAUUCUUUUGUUAUAGUUGUUAAUUUAUACAUUUUGUUGAUUCCUUUUUUAUGAUUUUUACUUUCUUAUUUGAUUUUGCUAAAGUUGUGAAGCCAAUGAUGUUCUGUCAUUCUACCCACUUAAUAUUGGAAUGCAAACUUAAAUAUGAAGGACUUUGCAAUGUCUUAUAUUUAACUUUCUUUUCCUCCUCUUUGUUUUUUGAUAGACAUACACGGUAAGCAUUUUGAUGGCUGUUAGUCCAUUCACCAAGCUUCCUUAUCUUUAUAAUGUGCAUAUGAUGGAGCAGUAUAAGGAAGCACCAUUUGGUGAGCUUUAGUCCUAUUUUUGCUGUUGCAAAUGCAUCAUAUAGGUAUCUCACAUUAAAGUUAUUUCUAUGGAAAUUGAAUGUUGAUGUGUGAUGUAUCUAGCUUUACCAAUAACCUGAUCUAAUUAGGUUCUAUUUGUUUUUAAAUCCAUAGCUAUGAUGAGCGAAAGUAGAAGCAUAUCUAUACUGCUAUAAUAUAUAAACCGCAUCAAUUUCCAUGGGAAAAUUGGCACUGUUGAUCUACAAUGCCAAAUUCAAGGGUAAUUUUGUGAAUGUGGGGUGUUUGGAGGCUGUUGCUAGAUCAUGAAGGAAAGGUUGGAGUGAAAGAAAGUGUAUAAAUGAAUAUCAGUUUUGGUAAGUUUGAUAUGUGUUUCUCUAAUUUAUAAUGCUCAUCCUGGAUAUGUAUUAUUAUUUUUGCUAAUCCUCAUAUCUUAUUAUCUUCUCUACAAAUUGCAGAGCUCUACUGUUAAGUAGAUAAAUGAUUAAAUUUGAAAUUUUCU
rnacentral:misc_RNA from 1 species